GGUUCUGGGGCUGCUUUGGAGCUCAGAUCUGAGCCCCCCACCCCAUUCAUCAACGAGCUGUACCCCCCCACACCACCCUCCCCCCCCCGGCAGUGCGCUAUGGCCGCUUUGACCCCGAGGACCAACGCAGCCGUCACUGCCCCUACCUGGACACCAUCAACAAGAGCGUGCUGGAUUUUGACUUCGAGAAGCUGUGCUCCAUCUCGCUGUCCCACAUCAACGUCUACGCCUGCCUGGUGUGUGGGAAAUACUUCCAGGGUGAGCUCUG
rnacentral:lncRNA from 1 species